rnacentral:tRNA from 2 species
GAAAAAACAGUGGUUAACAUCGGUCUCGAAAACCGGAGUAGGGGCAACUCUACCGGGGGUUCAAAUCCCCCUCUCUCCGCCA